GCCUACGGGAGGCAGCAGUGGGGAAUAUUGGACAAUGGGCGAAAGCCUGAUCCAGCCAUGCCGCGUGUGUGAAGAAGGUCUUCGGAUUGUAAAGCACUUUAAGUUGGGAGGAAGGGCAGUAACGUAAUACUCUUACGUGAGGCCUCCCGACCG
rnacentral:rRNA from 1 species